AGACAUUUGAAGACUUUAAGAAUGAUAAGCAGGCCCUCGAGUACCAGCAGAGGAUAGUGGACAUCCUACUCCAGGUGAUGGUGGACAACCCAGACUUCACUCCCUCCCAGGUGGGCGGGCUCUUCACCUUUUUGGCUCGUCAGUUGGCCAAGCCAGACAACACACUGUUUGUGAACAGGAAGCUCUUUGAUCAGGUGCUGGAGUUCCUGUGUUGCCCAGACGAUGACUCUCGACACACUGAGAGGCAGCAGGUUGGUGACAGAAACAGAAAGAAGUUUUUCUCUCUCAUCGUCAA